UGCCUUCACACACAAAUGUCCAACCACAGG
rnacentral:piRNA from 1 species